GUGAAGACAGUAACCCGACAAAGGAUUUUCAUCAGCUCGGGCCGUGUUUCGGCAAUAGAACCAUGUUUUGACCCAUCCUUUGGGGUGGCUUGGCAAGGUAGCUACAGGAAAGGCACAUUCUCUACUCCUUUGGAUGGAGAUUCCACCGAGUUCUAGACUAAGGCUGUCAACACAUUAUGUAUGGCGGUUGAGAUAGAAGUUUUCUCUAAAGAGAAGGAUGGUAGGUUCCAUCUACAAGUACACUUCGCAGAACACUUGGAAUUGACAUAGAUUGGAUAUGUAAUUGGGAGCUAAGUCUUGAGGGUGAAGAUUGUGAAAGUUCAAAACAUCCCGAAAGAAUUUGGAGACGGGGGGCAUCUAAAAAGGUGAUCGAUGAAUACUACUACUUCUCCUUCACCAGGUUGAGGGAUUUCUUCUCCUACGGAAGCUCGCCGACCGAUUACAUUUUUAGGCAGCAGAAGGCCCUGGUCUAUGUAAUCUUUAAGUAUAAGAUCAGAAACCUGAGAAGGAACCCAGUUGGAUGUGUUCGGUUUUGACAUGACGAGUCGCGUAAGUAAAAGAAAAAGAUGAGGAAGUAUAAAUAGCGGGUUAAAAGAGUUGUCUAGUAAUACAACA
rnacentral:lncRNA from 1 species